rnacentral:rRNA from 1 species
GAGUUUGAUCCUGGCUCAGGAUGAACGCUGGCGGCAUGCCUAAUACAUGCAAGUCGAACGGGAUAUCUUCGGAUAUCCAGUGGCGAACGGGUGAGUAACACGUAGGUAACCUGCCCAUGUGCCCGGGAUAACGCCUGGAAACGGGUGCUAAAACCGGAUAGGUAUCGCUUCUGCAUGGAAGAGAUAUUAAAGGAGCUGCAAGGCUCUGAACAUGGAUGGACCUGCGGUGCAUUAGCUGGUUGGUGAGGUAACGGCCCACCAAGGCGACGAUGCAUAGCCGGCCUGAGAGGGUGAACGGCCACAUUGGGACUGAGACACGGCCCAAACUCCUACGGGAGGCAGCAGUAGGGAAUUUUCGUCAAUGGGGGCAACCCUGAACGAGCAAUGCCGCGUGAGUGA